rnacentral:rRNA from 1 species
UACGUAGGGGCAAGCGUUAUCCGGAAUUAUUGGGCGUAAAGAGCGCGCAGGUGGUUGAUUAAGUCUGAUGUGAAAGCCCACGGCUUAACCGUGGAGGGUCAUUGGAAACUGGUCGACUUGAGUGCAGAAGAGGGAAGUGGAAUUCCAUGUGUAGCGGUGAAAUGCGUAGAGAUAUGGAGGAACACCAGUGGCGAAGGCGGCUUCCUGGUCUGUAACUGACACUGAGGCGCGAAAGCGUGGGGAGCAAACAGGAUUAGAUACCCCCGUA